rnacentral:rRNA from 1 species
UACGUAGGGUGCAAGCGUUAAUCGGAAUUACUGGGCGUAAAGGGAGCGUAGGCGGACAUUUAAGUCAGAGGUGAAAUCCCGGAGCUUAACUUCGGAACUGCCUUUGAUACUGGGUGUCUUGAGUGUGAGAGAGGUAUGUGGAACUCCGAGUGUAGAGGUGAAAUUCGUAGAUAUUCGGAAGAACACCAGUGGCGAAGGCGACAUACUGGCUCAUUACUGACGCUGAGGCUCGAAAAGCGUGGGGAGCAAACAGG